AUUGAACGCUGACGGCAGGCCUAACACAUGCAAGUCGAGCGGAUGAAGGGAGCUUGCUCCUGGAUUCAGCGGCGGACGGGUGAGUAAUGCCUAGGAAUCUGCCUGGUAGUGGGGGAUAACGUCCGGAAACGGGCGCUAAUACCGCAUACGUCCUGAGGGAGAAAGUGGGGGAUCUUCGGACCUCACGCUAUCAGAUGAGCCUAGGUCGGAUUAGCUAGUUGGUGGGGUAAAGGCCUACCAAGGCGACGAUCCGUAACUGGUCUGAGAGGAUGAUCAGUCACACUGGAACUGAGACACGGUCCAGACUCCUACGGGAGGCAGCAAUGGGGAAUAUUGGACAAUGGGCGAAAGCCUGAUCCAGCCAUGCCGCGUGUGUGAAGAAGGUCUUCGGAUUGUAAAGCACUUUAAGUUGGGAGGAAGGGCAGUAAGUUAAUACCUUGCUGUUUUGACGUUACCAACAGAAUAAGCACCGGCUAACUUCGUG
rnacentral:rRNA from 1 species